rnacentral:rRNA from 1 species
UACGGAGGGUGCGAGCGUUAUCCGGAUUCACUGGGGUUAAAGGGUGCGUAGGUGGGCAAGUAAGUCAGUGGUGAAAUCUCCGGGCUUAACCCGGAAACUGCCAUUGAUACUAUUUGUCUUGAAUACUGUGGAGGUCAGCGGAAUAUGUCAUGUAGCGGUGAAAUGCUUAGAUAUGACAUAGAACACCAAUUGCGAAGGCAGCUGGCUACACAAAUAUUGACACUGAGGCACGAAAGCGUGGGGAUCAAACAGG